GAUCAUGGCUCAGAACGAACGCUGGCGGCAGGCCUAACACAUGCAAGUCGAACGCCCUAGCAAUAGGGAGUGGCAGACGGGUGAGUAACACGUGGGAACCUUCCCUAUAGUACGGAAUAGCUCAGGGAAACUUGAAGUAAUACCGUAUACGCCCGAGAGGGGAAAGAUUUAUCGCUAUAGGAUGGGCCCGCGUCGGAUUAGCUAGUUGGUGAGGUAAUGGCUCACCAAGGCGACGAUCCGUAGCUGGUUUGGGAGAACGACCAGCCACACUGGGACUGAGACACGGCCCAGACUCCUACGGGAGGCAGCAGUGGGGAAUAUUGGACAAUGGGCGCAAGCCUGAUCCAGCCAUGCCGCGUGAGUGAUGAAGGCCUUAGGGUUGUAAAGCUCUUUUAGCAGGGAAGAUAAUGACUGUACCUGCAGAAUAAGCUCCGGCUAACUUCGUG
rnacentral:rRNA from 1 species